UGGCAGUGCCUUGCUAGCUGGCU
rnacentral:miRNA from 1 species